AGAUGGUGGGCUAUUGAAACUAUCAAUCUAUCCUUGAGCAAUUUUUAGUUUUUCUAUUUAAAAAAAAAAAAAAAAGUAGAUAAAAAGUCAAAAUUUACAACGUUAUCCAUAGUUUCACUUGACUUGGCACUCCUAAUCUUGCAAGUAGUACUAUUAAAAAAUAAAAAUGUAGAUAAAAAGUCAACAUUUAAAACGUUAUCCAUAGUUUCACUUGACUUGGCACUCCUACUUCAGCCCAGUUUGUUUGAUGGAGAAUAGAGAAAAAGGAAAAACAGGGGUGGGAAAAUGAGGAGCUUUUGGUUUGUUACUUUAUUUGGUCUCAUAGGAGUAAUAGUCUUUCUGACAUACGAAAACUUAAUCCUUUUGAAAUUCUAAAACCUGCCCUAUGGUGGACUGACACAAGCAACCAAUCCACAUUGAAACCAUCUCAGAUCCGGGUGUUUUCUCCUUCAAGUAGCUCCUUACAUAUCAACCUACCAAAUUUCAACUUCAAAUUAUGGAAACAUUUAUGAAGGAAAUGUUGAAGGCUUUACUAUCUGGAGCAAAAGAUGCAUUGCAGCGGAAGUGGGCGAUGAAGGAAGUCUGGAGUAAUUCUGAAGUCCUAAGUAACUUAACUUUUGACUUAAACACUACCUCAUAGCCGUUAGGUGUGGAACCUUUAUUUUUUUAUGUGUACAAAUCUAUGCAACUCCUAAUUUUUUGUUGUAGACCUACUAACGAGGUAGUGGUUUUUUUUGGCUAAACUUGCUUACAUGACCAUGCACAACAAAAAACAACCAUAUGUGGAUAAUCCUUAAAUAUGUAAUUUGGUCACUCUUUUUUUAUUUCUAGUUUCUUUGUUGCUUUGAUUAGAAAAAAAAGCGUUGGUUUGUUUGUUU